UACGAAGGGGGCUAGCGUUGUUCGGAAUUACUGGGCGUAAAGCGCGCGCAGGCGGUUUCUUAAGUCUGAUGUGAAAGCCCACGGCUCAACCGUGGAGGGUCAUUGGAAACUGGGAGACUUGAGUGCAGAAGAGAAGAGUGGAAUUCCACGUGUAGCGGUGAAAUGCGUAGAGAUGUGGAGGAACACCAGUGGCGAAGGCGACUCUUUGGUCUGUAACUGACGCUGAGGCGCGAAAGCGUGGGGAGCAAACAGG
rnacentral:rRNA from 1 species